AUAAUAUGUUAUAUUUUUACGUUAUAUAUUCGGAGCACCGAAUUUUCGUUUCGCUAAGGUCUUUUUUAAGGUUAUGUGUUUAUUUCAUGCAAUUUGGAAUGAAAUUUUGCAAUUUUAGCUCGCGUUUUGUGCUUGUGUGUAUAGCGAGCAUAAAGUCAAAAUGGCGACGUCGGUUUCGUGCCUUUUUUCCGUCUCUCUCAUUUCAAUCGCCGCUUUGUCCGAUUUUGUACCGAGUCUCUUUUGCUCUCAUGUGUGCUAUAUACAUAUGUGUGUGAGCGUGCGAAGCGGAGAUGAAAAAUAAAAUGGCGGCAGCGUCGGUUGUAGCUUUACGUUUCCCGGCGGCUGGAUGCCAGGCAGCGGUGCGAGCGCAUGCGCAGAAGUUAAACCGAACUUUACCGAGACGGACGUACGCGCAGAAGAAAAUAAAUGAAUUUUAGUGAAAAAAAAUGUAAAGAAACAAACCAGCAGUAUUUGAGAGCAAAUAAAAAGGUAAAGGUUCGAAAAAUUAAAUUAUUAUUCAAUUUUAAUUAUGUUAUAUGUGAUAUAUUUAAUAUAAUAUGUUAUAUUUUUACGUUAUAUAUUCGGAGCACCGAAUUUUCGUUUCGCUAAGGUCUUUUUUAAGGUUAUGUGUUUAUUUCAUGCAAUUUGGAAUGAAAUUUUGCAAUUUUAGCUCGCGUUUUGUGCUUGUGUGUAUAGCGAGCGAGCAUAAAGUCAAAAUGGCGACGUCGGUUUCGUGCCUUUUUUCCGUCUCUCUCAUUUCAAUCGCCGCUUUGUUCGAUUUUGUACCGAGUCUCUUUUGCUCUCAUGUGUGCUAUAUACAUAUGUGUGUGAGCGUGCGAAGCGGAGAUGAAAAAUAAAAUGGCGGCAGCGUCGGUUGUAGCUUUACGUUUCCCGGCGGCUGGAUGUCAGGCAGCGGUGCGAGCGCAUGCGCAGAAGUUAAACCGAACUUUACCGAGACGGACGUACGCGCAGAAGAAAAUAAGUGAAUUUUAGUGAAAAAAAAUGUAAAGAAACAAACCAGCAGUAUUUGAGAGCAAAUAAAAAGUGAUAUAGAAAUGACAUUUUUAUUUGCCGAGGCGUGUUUCUGUGAAUUUUUCGAUAAAGGGUAAGAAUAAAAGAAAUGUUAAAUUUAUAAUUUAAAUUGUAGUCAAUAUUUUUAAAAUCCAGUCAAAAAAAUUCUGAACUUCGGUGUGCCGAAGUUAGAUAUUAUUCCACAUUCUAGUAUAUACAAAUUUCGUGUCGCAGUGUUUGUGUUUGAACUCCUCACAAACGGUGAGGACCGAGAAAUUUUUGUUGUAUCUUUGAAAGGUAUUAACUAACUUUUUUUUGUCGGGAUUUGUAGUAACAAAAAAGAAACCAGGCCACAUUUUAGAGCAUACAGAACAGACCAACGUAUCCAAUAAAGUAACGAAAAUGUGCAUGUGAGCAUAUCGCAAUUGCGUGAAAUAUAAUCACAAGAGGGACGAGAUCAAGAAAGUGAACAAGAACAUCGUGAAUUUUCAUCCAUUUUGGUUCUUCAUCUCGAAAAAUUCAAACAUGAGUGGGAUGGAAUGUGUUGCGCCUCAGGAAAAGUGCAACAACCAGAAGUGAAAACACCAGCAGAACCAUGGAAAGGCUUUCUCACGGCACGGAUCGUUCGGUACAGCAAUAGUUCACAAUACUGCGACAAAUGGUUCUCCGGGCAAGCUAGUAAAUUGAUAUAUUCAUGUAGUAAU
rnacentral:sRNA from 1 species